rnacentral:rRNA from 2 species
UGAUGGAGCAACGCCGCGUGAGUGAAGAAGGUCUUCGGAUCGUAAAACUCUGUUGUUAGAGAAGAACACGAGUGAGAGUAACUGUUCAUUCGAUGACGGUAUCUAACCAGCAAGUCACGGCUAACUACGUGCCAGCAGCCGCGGUAAUACGUAGGUGGCAAGCGUUGUCCGGAUUUAUUGGGCGUAAAGGGAACGCAGGCGGUCUUUUAAGUCUGAUGUGAAAGCCUUCGGCUUAACCGGAGUAGUGCAUUGGAAACUGGAAGACUUGAGUGCAGAAGAGGAGAGUGGAACUCCAUGUGUAGCGGUGAAAUGCGUAGAUAUAUGGAAGAACACC